rnacentral:rRNA from 1 species
CCUACGGGAGGCAGCAGUGGGGAAUCUUGCGCAAUGGGCGAAAGCCUGACGCAGCCAUGCCGCGUGAAUGAUGAAGGUCUUAGGAUUGUAAAAUUCUUUCACCGGGGACGAUAAUGACGGUACCCGGAGAAGAAGCCCCGGCUAACUUCGUGCCAGCAGCCGCGGUAAUACGAAGGGGGCUAGCGUUGCUCGGAAUUACUGGGCGUAAAGGGAGCGUAGGCGGAUAGUUUAGUCAGAGGUGAAAGCCCAGGGCUCAACCUUGGAAUUGCCUUUGAUACUGGCUAUCUUGAGUACGGGAGAGGUGUGUGGAACUCCGAGUGCAGAGGUGAAAUUCGUAGAUAUUCGGAAGAACACCAGUGGCGAAGGCGACACACUGGCCCAUUACUGACGCUGAGGCUCGAAAGCGUGGGGAGCAAACAGGAUUAGAUACCCUGGUAGUCCACGCCGUAAACGAUGAGUGCUAGUUGUCGGCAUGCAUGCAUGUCGGUGACGCAGCUAACGCAUUAAGCACUCCGCCUGGGGAGUACGGUCGCAAGAAUUAAAACUCAAAGGAAAUUGACGG